rnacentral:SRP_RNA from 1 species
GCCAUCGGGAGCAGUGGCACGUGCCUGUAGUCCCAGCUACUUGGGAGGCUGAGGUAGGAGGAUCGCUUGAGCCCAGGAGUUCUGGGCUGUAGUGCGCUAUGCCGAUCGGGUGUCUGCACUAAGUUCCGCGUCAAUAUUGUGACCUCCUGGGAGCGGGGGACCACCAGAUUGCCUAAGAAGGGGUAAGCCGGCCCGGACUGGAAACGGAGCAGGUCAAAACUCCCGUGCUGAUCAGUAGCGGGAUCUCGUUUGUGAAUAGCCACUGCACUCCAGCCUGGGCAACAUAGCGAGACCCCAUCUCU